GAUGAACGCUGGCGGCGUGCCUAACACAUGCAAGUCGAGCGGAAAGGCGCUGCUCUUGCGGCGUUCUCGUUUGCCGAACGCGGGUGUAACACGUGUGUAAACCGUCCCUGACUGUGGGAGAUCUUCUGGGAACUGCGGCGAUUACCCCGUAGGAGCUCCUGCUGCGUGUGGGGCGAUGGAAAGAUUCGGCUGUGGUGGAUGGACUAGCGGCUUAUCAGCUUGUUUGGGUGGUUGUGGCUGACCAGGGUUUUGACGGCUAGCCGGCCUGGGAGGGUGACCGGCCACAUGGGGACUGCGAUACGGCGCAGACUGCAACGGGAGGCAGCAGUGGAGAGUCUUGCAGAGUGGGCGGAAGCCUGAUGCAGCAACGCCGCGUGCGGGAUGACGGCCUUCGGGUUGUAAACCGAUUUCGCAUGAGACGAAGCGUGAGUGACGGUACUGGGUAAAGAAGCACCGGCUAACUACGUG
rnacentral:rRNA from 1 species